UACAGAGGUCUCAAGCGUUGUUCGGAAUCACUGGGCGUAAAGGGUGCGUAGGCGGCACGGUAAGUCAGAGGUGAAAUCCCGGAGCUCAACUUCGGAAUUGCCUCCGAUACUGCCGUGCUUGAGGACUGGAGAGGAGAUUGGAAUUCACAGUGGAGCAGUGAAAUGCGUAGAUAUUGUGAGGAACACUAGUGGCGAAGGCGAAUCUCUGGACAGUUCCUGACGCUGAGGAGCGACAGCGUGGGGAGCAAACAGG
rnacentral:rRNA from 1 species